rnacentral:rRNA from 1 species
GACGAACGCUGGCGGCGUGCUUAACACAUGCAAGUCGAGCGGGGAUAGUAAGAAGCUUGCUUUGAACUAUUCUAGCGGCGGACGGGUGAGUAACGCGUGAGCAACCUUUCCUCUACUGGGGAAUAACACAGGGAAACUUGUACUAAUACCGCAUAAGACCACGCUACCGCAUGGUAGAGGGGUCAAAGAUUUAUCGGUAGAGGGUGGGCUCGCGUCCGAUUAGGUAGUUGGUGAGGUAACGGGCCCCACCAAGCCGACGAUCGGUAGCCGACCUGAGAGGGUGAUCGGCCACAUUGGGACUGAGACACGGCCCAAACUCCUACGGGAGGCAGCAGUGGGGAAUAUUGGGCAAUGGGGGAAACCCUGACCCAGCAACGCCGCGUGGAGGAAGAAGGUUUUCGGAUCGUAAACUCCUGUCCUCAGGGAAGAGUAGAAGACGGUACCUGAGGAGGAAGCCCCGGCUAACUACGUG